rnacentral:rRNA from 1 species
GAGUUUGAUCAUGGCUCAGAUUGAACGCUGGCGGCAGGCCUAACACAUGCAAGUCGAACGGUAACAGGAAACAGCUUGCUGUUUCGCUGACGAGUGGCGGACGGGUGAGUAAUGUCUGGGAAACUGCCUGAUGGAGGGGGAUAACUACUGGAAACGGUAGCUAAUACCGCAUAACGUCGCAAGACCAAAGAGGGGGACCUUCGGGCCUCUUGCCAUCAGAUGUGCCCAGAUGGGAUUAGCUAGUAGGUGGGGUAACGGCUCACCUAGGCGACGAUCCCUAGCUGGUCUGAGAGGAUGACCAGCCACACUGGAACUGAGACACGGUCCAGACUCCUACGGGAGGCAGCAGUGGGGAAUAUUGCACAAUGGGCGCAAGCCUGAUGCAGCCAUGCCGCGUGUAUGAAGAAGGCCUUCGGGUUGUAAAGUACUUUCAGCGGGGAGGAAGGGAGUAAAGUUAAUACCUUUGCUCAUUGACGUUACCCGCAGAAGAAGCACCGGCUAACUCCGUGCCAGCAGCCGCGGUAAUACGGAGGGUGCAAGCGUUAAUCGGAAUUACUGGGCGUAAAGCGCACGCAGGCGGUUUGUUAAGUCAGAUGUGAAAUCCCCGGGCUCAACCUGGGAACUGCAUCUGAUACUGGCAAGCUUGAGUCUCGUAGAGGGGGGUAGAAUUCCAGGUGUAGCGGUGAAAUGCGUAGAGAUCUGGAGGAAUACCGGUGGCGAAGGCGGCCCCCUGGACGAAGACUGACGCUCAGGUGCGAAAGCGUGGGGAGCAAACAGGAUUAGAUACCCUGGUAGUCCACGCCGUAAACGAUGUCGACUUGGAGGUUGUGCCCUUGAGGCGUGGCUUCCGGAGCUAACGCGUUAAGUCGACCGCCUGGGGAGUACGGCCGCAAGGUUAAAACUCAAAUGAAUUGACGGGGGCCCGCACAAGCGGUGGAGCAUGUGGUUUAAUUCGAUGCAACGCGAAGAACCUUACCUGGUCUUGACAUCCACGGAAGUUUUCAGAGAUGAGAAUGUGCCUUCGGGAACCGUGAGACAGGUGCUGCAUGGCUGUCGUCAGCUCGUGUUGUGAAAUGUUGGGUUAAGUCCCGCAACGAGCGCAACCCUUAUCCUUUGUUGCCAGCGGUCCGGCCGGGAACUCAAAGGAGACUGCCAGUGAUAAACUGGAGGAAGGUGGGGAUGACGUCAAGUCAUCAUGGCCCUUACGACCAGGGCUACACACGUGCUACAAUGGCGCAUACAAAGAGAAGCGACCUCGCGAGAGCAAGCGGACCUCAUAAAGUGCGUCGUAGUCCGGAUUGGAGUCUGCAACUCGACUCCAUGAAGUCGGAAUCGCUAGUAAUCGUGGAUCAGAAUGCCACGGUGAAUACGUUCCCGGGCCUUGUACACACCGCCCGUCACACCAUGGGAGUGGGUUGCAAAAGAAGUAGGUAGCUUAACCUUCGGGAGGGCGCUUACCACUUUGUGAUUCAUGACUGGGGUGAAGUCGUAACAAGGUAACCGUAGGGGAACCUGCGGUUG